rnacentral:rRNA from 1 species
UACGUAGGGGGCAAGCGUUGUCCGGAUUUAUUGGGCGUAAAGAGCGUGUAGGCGGUUUGGUAGGUCCGCUGUGAAAACUCGAGGCUCAACCUCGAGACGCCGGUGGAAACCAUCAGACUAGAGUCCGGAAGAGGAGAGUGGAAUUCCUGGUGUAGCGGUGAAAUGCGCAGAUAUCGGGAGGAACACCAGUAGCGAAGGCGGCACUCUGGGCCGUGACUGACGCUGAGGAGCGAAAGCGUGGGUAGCAAACAGG